ensembl:misc_RNA Metazoa_SRP Metazoan signal recognition particle RNA
GCUGGGCGUGGUGGUGGGCGCCUGUAGUCCUAGCUACUUGGGAGGCUGAGGCAGAAGAAUCGCUUGAAAUCGGGAGGUGGAGGUUGCAGUGGGCCGAGAUCGCACCACUGCACUCCAGCCUGGGUAACAGAGUGAGACUCUGCCUCAA